GCAGACGACGGGCACGGGACGCUGCGGGAGGCGUGCCGGGCCAAGGAGCCGCUGUGGAUCGUCUUCGAGGUGUCCGGCGACAUCCACCUCCACACCUACCUCCGGGUCUCCUCCCACAAGACCAUCGACGGGCGGGGGCAGCGAGUCAGGCUCACCGGCAAGGGCCUCCAGCUCAAGGACUGCCACCACGUCAUCGUCUGCAACCUCCAGUUCGAGGCCGGCCGGGGCCACGACGUCGACGGCAUCCAGAUCAAGCCCGGCUCCACCAACAUCUGGAUCGACCGCUGCUCCCUCGCCGACUACGACGACGGCCUCAUCGACAUCACGCGCCAGAGCACCGACAUCACCGUCUCCAGAUGCCACUUUGCAAGGCAUGACAAGACGAUGCUCAUCGGCGCGGACCCGACGCACGUCGACGACAGGUGCAUCAGGGUGACCAUCCACCACUGCUUCUUCGACGGCACGCGGCAGAGGCACCCGCGCCUGCGCUUCGGCAAGGUCCACCUAUACAACAACUACACCAGGGACUGGGGCAUAUACGCCGUCUGCGCCGGCGUCGAAGCUCAGAUUGUGUCCCAGUGUAACAUAUACGAAGGUGGGCACAAGAAGACGGUCUUCAAGUACAUGCCGGAGAAGGCUGCCGACAGAGAAGAGACGGCGGCCGGGUGGAUCAGGUCGGAGGGCGACGCGUUCCUGCACGGUGCGCUGCCGUGCCUGGUCGACGGCCCGGGCGCCGAGUGCGUCUUCAGGCCGGAGGAGUACUACGACAGGUGGACGAUGGAGGCGGCGUCGCCGGCGCUCAAGGAGGUCAUUCAGCUCUGCGCUGGGUGGCAGCCUGUGCCCAGGCCCCCGGACUGCUAG
rnacentral:rRNA from 1 species